rnacentral:rRNA from 1 species
GAUGAACGCUGGCGGCGUGCCUAACACAUGCAAGUCGAGCGGACCUGAUUGAGUGAUUAGCUUGCUAUGAACUCAUGACUGGUUAGCGGCGGACGGGUGAGUAACGCGUGGGUAACCUGCCUCAUACAGGGGGAUAGCAGUUGGAAACGACUGGUAAUACCGCAUAAGCGCACAGUACCGCAUGGUACGGUGUGAAAAACUCCGGUGGUAUGAGAUGGACCCGCGUCCGAUUAGCCAGUUGGCGGGGUAACGGCCCACCAAAGCGACGAUCGGUAGCCGGCCUGAGAGGGCGGACGGCCACAUUGGGACUGAGACACGGCCCAGACUCCUACGGGAGGCAGCAGUGGGGGAUAUUGCACAAUGGAGGAAACUACUGAUGCAGCGACGCCGCGUGGGUGAAGAAGUAUUUCGGUAUGUAAAGCCCUAUCAGCAGGGACGAUAAUGACGU